rnacentral:rRNA from 1 species
UACAUGGGGUGCAAACGUUGCUCGGAAUUAUUGGGCGUAAAGGGCUCGUAGGCGGCCAACUAAGUCGGAUGUGAAAUCCCCAGGCUUAACCUGGGAAUUGCAUCCGAUACUGGAUGGCUUGAAUCCGGGAGAGGGAUGCGGAAUUCCAGGUGUAGCGGUGAAAUGCGUAGAUAUCUGGAGGAACACCGGUGGCGAAGGCGGCAUCCUGGACCGGCAUUGACGCUGAGGAGCGAAAGCCAGGGGAGCAAACGGG